rnacentral:rRNA from 1 species
UACGAAGGGGGCUAGCGUUGCUCGGAAUUACUGGGCGUAAAGCGCACGUAGGCGGAUCUUUAAGUCAGGGGUGAAAUCCUGGAGCUCAACUCCAGAACUGCCUUUGAUACUGAGAAGCUUGAGUCCGGGAGAGGUGAGUGGAACUGCGAGUGUAGAGGUGAAAUUCGUAGAUAUUCGCAAGAACACCAGUGGCGAAGGCGGCUCACUGGCCCGGUACUGACGCUGAGGUGCGAAAGCGUGGGGAGCAAACAGGG